rnacentral:rRNA from 1 species
GACGAACGCUGGCGGCGUGCUUAACACAUGCAAGUCGAACGGAAAGGCCCUGCUUUUGUGGGGUGCUCGAGUGGCGAACGGGUGAGUAACACGUGAGUAACCUGCCCUUGACUUUGGGAUAACUUCAGGAAACUGGGGCUAAUACCGGAUAGGAGCUCCUGCUGCAUGGUGGGGGUUGGAAAGUUUCGGCGGUUGGGGAUGGACUCGCGGCUUAUCAGCUUGUUGGUGGGGUAGUGGCUUACCAAGGCUUUGACGGGUAGCCGGCCUGAGAGGGUGACCGGCGAGUUUGGGAGUGAAAGAGGACGAAGGCGACGAAGGGAGGAAGGGGGGGGGAGAAUGGCACGGGCGGGAGAAGGUGAGCGAAGAAAGGCGUGGGGGGGGAUGACGGCAUCCGGGUUGUAAAGCGCUUCCGACGGAGAAGAAGGGGGAUUAGGGGGAAGGGGAAAAGAAACACCACAUAACGUCGAGCCAGCAGCAGGGAAAACAGAACGAAAGAGCAAUCUAUGAAC